GUCUCUGAACAAAGUGAAGAAUUUUCACUUCCUUCUUAGCUUCUUCUGUGUCUUCUCAUUUCAGUGGGUUUUUCUCAUGAUUUCUGAUGGAAAGUUAGGGUUCGUGUCUUCGAAUGUUUUUCCAUUUAUUUUCAGUAACAUACUAGACACACUUUAGUUUUAAUUUCAUCUUGAUCGAUUGUCGCUGGGGGUGGCUUAUUCGCCAAGUGAUUCUGUAGGAAUUUGUUGAGUUUGUAAUUCAAACUGUUAUCUGGGUUAAAAUAUGAGCGGACGGUCAAGUCGCACAAUUUAUGUUGGCAAUCUGCCUGGUGACAUUCGCUUGAGAGAAGUUGAGGAUCUUUUUUAUAAGUAUGGUCCUAUUGUUGACAUUGAUUUGAAGAUCCCUCCAAGACCACCGGGCUAUGCUUUUGUAGAGUUUGAGGAUGCUCGUGAUGCUGAAGAUGCAAUUCAAUAUCGAGAUGGUUACAAUUUUGAUGGUUUUCGGUUGCGAGUUGAACUUGCACAUGGUGGACGGGGACAUUCAUCAUCAGUAGACCGCUAUAGUAACUACAGUGGUAGCAGUGGUAGUCGUGGAGUUUCUUGGCGUUCUGACUAUCGUGUUCUGGUCACUGGAUUACCUCCAUCUGCUUCGUGGCAAGACCUGAAAGAUCACAUGCGUAAAGCUGGUGAUGUGUGUUUUUCGCAAGUCUUCCGUGAGCGUGGAGGCAUGACUGGGAUAGUUGAUUAUACCAAUUAUGAUGAUAUGAAAUAUGCUAUCAGGAAACUUGAUGACUCAGAAUUCCGCAAUGCCUUUUCUCGAGCUUACAUACGAGUGAGAGAAUAUGAUCGAGCUUAUUCUAGAAGUCGUAGUCUUGAUUCAGGGAGGAGCUAUUCUAGAAGUGUCAGCCGUAGCCCAUACGUCUCCCGAAGUCGAAGCUGCAGCCGGAGCCGAAGUCAUAGCUAUAGUGACAGGAGUGGAAGUUUGUCUCCAAAAGCAAAACACCCUCAUCGUUCAAUAUCUCUUUCAAGACUUAUCAGCAUAACUCUGUCGUAUGUGGAAAGGUGGAAAGGUGGAGGGGGCAAUGUUGAAGUCGAUUGUGAGCUUGGCCACUAAACAUACAAAUGUUCAUUAGGGUUGACUUUUGCAUUUUAGAUGUGGCCUAAUGCGUCGACCUGGGAACUGCAUGUUAGGAUCUUGAUGGCAUGUGGUGCUAUCGCCAACCUUGUUUUUUGAGGUAAUGCUGUUUUGUUGAUGAGCACCUGUAGUACACCUGAAUGUUGUAACUAAUGACAAUGAUAUUGAUUAAAAGCACGAUCUCUCAAAUUUCAUCUUAAAAUCAAUUGAUAUUAAGCGAAGUUAUCCAAUAAAUAUAUAGUCGCAUUUCAAUAAUUGAGACAGACAAUGUGAGAGAGUUUUCAACAUCUCCCCUCCACGCAUGAUUGUCGAAUAGUUAUUGACUCUAAUACCUUAAAAUCAAAUGGUAUUAGGUGAAGUUGUCUAAUCAAUGUGUAUAAGCUGCACUCCAAAAACUGAGUUAGAGAUAGGAGACUUUCCAACACGGUUUACAAUUGUAGAAUGGAUGAGUUGCAUUCUAAAGGUUGGAUCAUGAUGAACUAAUUGCCAUUGGUACAAAUCAUUGCAAAUCAGCAGUGUUACGAUUCAGAAAACAACGUACCUUGUGUGGUGAGUUCUGGUUGAUCUAUUCCUUCUCUUUAGGAAUUCUUCUUGUACUAUAUUGUGAUGGAUAUAUCUUCUCUAUAUUUGGUUGAAGAUAUCUUGCGAUGCUGGCAAUAGAAUUCUUAACCCAUACGAGACUAAAGAUGUGUGAUACUGGGUUCAGUAGCAAGAGGAUUUGUGGUGGAUUAAUUUCUUCAUUUUGGUUAACUUUGAUGUUCAUUAAAUUUUUUGCAGAUCCCAGUCAAGAUCUGGAUCUCCAAAUUCAUCGCCUCGAACUCAGAGUCGCAGCCCUAGACGAAGUCCAAGCAACUCAUCAUAAUCUCAUUUUUCUCGAGUAAAGUUGGCACAGUAGUUGAUUAGAAAUUUCCAAUUUUUCUCUUUUUCUAAAGCUCCUUGAUUUUCUAAUGGCACCUCUCAUUUUACAUGAGAAAUCUGAAUGCAGCUGAACUGUUGACUCUGGAUACCACUACAAGGCAUGUAUUUUCUACAGAUAAUAAAACAUAAGAACAUCUAAUAUCCAAUA